rnacentral:rRNA from 2 species
CACCGAAGCUGCGGCAGCGAACGUAUCACUUAAAGCGAUUCAGCGGGUUACGAUUGACGGAGCGAAGCGACGUCAAAGCGUAUACAAAGUCGAGUCGGUUUAAGGAUACGUUCGUUGGGUAGGGGAGCGUUCUGUAAGCCUGCGAAGGUGGCCUGUGAGGGUUGCUGGAGGUAUCAGAAGUGCGAAUGCUGACAUAAGUAACGAUAAAGCGGGUGAAAAGCCCGCUCGCCGGAAGACCAAGGGUUCCUGUCCAACGUUAAUCGGGGCAGGGUGAGUCGACCCCUAAGGCGAGGCCGAAAGGCGUAGUCGAUGGGAAACGGGUUAAUAUUCCCGUACUUGGUGUUACUGCGAA